rnacentral:rRNA from 1 species
GAUGAACGCUGGCGGCGUGCCUAAUACAUGCAAGUCGAGCGAACAGACGAGGAGCUUGCUCCUCUGACGUUAGCGGCGGACGGGUGAGUUACACGUGGAUAACCUACCUAUAAGACUGGGAUAACUUCGGGAAACCGGAGCUAAUACCGGAUAAUAUAUUGAACCGCAUGGUUCAAUAGUGAAAGACGGUUUUGCUGUCACUUAUAGAUGGAUCCGCGCCGCAUUAGCUAGUUGGUAAGGUAACGGCUUACCAAGGCAACGAUGCGUAGCCGACCUGAGAGGGUGAUCGGCCACACUGGAACUGAGACACGGUCCAGACUCCUACGGGAGGCAGCAGUAGGGAAUCUUCCGCAAUGGGCGAAAGCCUGACGGAGCAACGCCGCGUGAAUGAUGAAGGUCUUCGGAUCGUAAAACUCUGUUAUUAGGGAAGAACAAAUGUGUAAGUAACUAUGCACGUCUUGACGGUACCUAAUCAGAAAGCCACGGCUAACUACGUG